rnacentral:rRNA from 1 species
GUGAGUAAUGCAUCGGAACUAGCCUGGAAUGGGGGAUAACGUACGAAAGUUACGCUAAUACCGGAUAUUCUGUGAGCAGGAAAGCCAGGGGAUCCGGCAAGAACUUUGGCGUUCCUUGGGGGAAGCCGGGCCGGAUUGGUCCGGGAUUAAGCUUAAGUUGGGUGGGGGUUAAAGGGGCUUAACCAAGGGGGGAAGGAAUNCCGGUAAGCGGGGGUUCUUGGAGAAGGGAUUGGAUUCCGGCCAACAACUUGGGGAACUUGAGACACGGCCAGACUCCUACGGGAGGCAGCAGUGGGGAAUUUUGGACAAUGGGCGGAAGCCUGAUCCAGCCAUGCCGCGUGAGUGAAGAAGGCCUUCGGGUUGUAAAGCUCUUUCGGUGGGGAAGAAAUUGCACGGGCUAAUACCCUGUGUAGAUGACGGUACCCGANUAAGAAGCACCGGUAACUACGUGCCAUGCAAGCCGCGGUAANUACGGUAGGGUGCGAGCGUAAUCGGAAUUUACUGGGGCGUAAAGCNUGCAGCAGGCGGGAUAGGGCCAGUCAGAUGUCGAAAGGCCCCAUGGGCUCCAACACUGGGGAACUGGGCUUCCGAAAACUUGGC